CCGGCAUAGGUAGAGGAUGGACUAAUGGCGCAUUAGCUAGUUGGAGGGGUAACGGCCCACCAAGGCGACGAUGCGUAGCCGACCUGAGAGGGUGACCGGCCACACUGGGACUGAGACACGGCCCAGACUCCUACGGGAGGCAGCAGUAGGGAAUUUUCGGCAAUGGGGGAAACCCUGACCGAGCAACGCCGCGUGAAGGAAGAAGUAAUUCGUUAUGUAAACUUCUGUCAUAGAGGAAGAACGGUGCGUGUAGGGAAUGACAUGCAAGUGACGGUACUCUAUAAGAAAGCCACGGCUAACUACGUGCCAGCAGCCGCGGUAAUACGUAGGUGGCAAGCGUUAUCCGGAAUUAUUGGGCGUAAAGAGGGAGCAGGCGGCACUAAGGGUCUGUGGUGAAAGAUCGAAGCUUAACUUCGGUAAGCCAUGGAAACCGUAGAGCUAGAGUGUGUGAGAGGAUCGUGGAAUUCCAUGUGUAGCGGUGAAAUGCGUAGAUAUAUGGAGGAACACCAGUGGCGAAGGCGACAAUCUGGCGCAUAACUGACGCUCAGUCCCGAAAGCGUGGGGAGCAAAUAGGAUUAGAUACCCUAGUAGUCCACGCCGUAAACGAUGAGUACUAAGUGUUGGGAGUCAAAUCUCAGUGCUGCAGUUAACGCAAUAAGUACUCCGCCUGAGUAGUACGUUCGCAAGAAUGAAACUCAAAGGAAUUGACGGGGGCCCGCACAAGCGGUGGAGCAUGUGGUUUAAUUUGAAGCAACGCGAAGAACCUUACCAGGUCUUGACAUCGAUCUAAAGGCUCCAGAGAUGGAGAGAUAGCUAUAGAGAAGACAGGUGGUGCAUGGUUGUCGUCAGCUCGUGUCGUGAGAUGUUGGGUUAAGUCCCGCAACGAGUGCAACCCCUGUUGCCAGUUGCCAGCAUUAAGUUGGGGACUCUGGCGAGACUGCCGGUGACAAGCCGGAGGAAGGCGGGGAGGACGUCAAAUCAUCAUGCCCCUUAUGACCUGGGCUACACACGUGCUACAAUGGACAGAGCAGAGGGAAGCGAAGCCGCGAGGUGGAGCGAAACCCAGAAAACUGUUCUCAGUUCGGACUGCAGUCUGCAACUCGACUGCACGAAGUUGGAAUCGCUAGUAAUCGCGAAUCAGCAUGUCGCGGCGAAUAAAAGGUCGGGCCUCGUACU
rnacentral:rRNA from 1 species